UCUUUGAAAGCUUGAAUCACUCUUGAAGCCGGAUGUAAAUUCAGAGGGCAACUCACCCUUACUAUAACCUCGUCAUGGGAAGCUUGAAUGUCAACUUCAGGAGCUUGGCUAUGAUUUUUCCCAUUUGAAUUAACCUCCAAAGUUGAUGCCUCUCUUGAAGUGUUCCCAAAUUUUUCCCUCUCUGCCUCCAUUAACUUGACCUUUGCUUGGAGCUCAUUGAUAUAAGCAAUAGCAUCCCCCAACAAGGAAGCCUUGUCCAUCUUGGAAAUAUUGGGAACAACAGCUCUUAAGGCAUAGAAUCGCUGAUUUAGCUU
rnacentral:misc_RNA from 1 species